UACGAAGGGGGCUAGCGUUGCUCGGAAUCACUGGGCGUAAAGCGCACGUAGGCGGCUUGUUAAGUCAGGGGUGAAAUCCUGGAGCUCAACUCCAGAACUGCCUUUGAUACUGGCGAGCUUGAGUUCGGGAGAGGUGAGUGGAACUGCGAGUGUAGAGGUGAAAUUCGUAGAUAUUCGCAGGAACACCAAUAGCGAAGGCAGCUCGCUGGGACGUUACUGACACUGAGGCGCGAAAGCGUGGGGAGCGAACAGG
rnacentral:rRNA from 1 species